GUGCCAAUUUUUGAACAAUGCCGGGUUGCUGUGCUGUCGGCUGCAGCAACAAAACAGAAGACGGCUUCUCUCUCUACAACAUACCUCGUGGUAUCCGGAAUAGUGCACGCCGUGAAGUGUGGCUAUAAAACAUUUCACGCGAGGACUUCCGUGCAACGCCGUCGACGCGGCUUUGCGAGGAAAUGGCAUCAGCAUUGACAGCAGCUCAAUAGGACAUGGCCACUGCUACUUUCAUGUAUCUCAUGAGAGUGAUACUCAAGAAAUGUCCCCAGAGGAUCCGCCUCAACUUUCAAGUGACGCGGAAGGGGUUGGUCUCGGU